rnacentral:rRNA from 1 species
GAUGAACGCUGGCGGCGUGCCUAAUACAUGCAAGUCGAGCGAAUGGAUUAAGAGCUUGCUCUUAUGAAGUUAGCGGCGGACGGGUGAGUAACACGUGGGUAACCUGCCCAUAAGACUGGGAUAACUCCGGGAAACCGGGGCUAAUACCGGAUAACAUUUUGAACCGCGUGGUUCGAAAUUGAAAGGCGGCUUCGGCUGUCACUUAUGGAUGGACCCGCGUCGCAUUAGCUAGUUGGUGAGGUAACGGCUCACCAAGGCAACGAUGCGUAGCCGACCUGAGAGGGUGGUGGGCCACACUGGGACUGAGACACGGCCCAGACUCCUACGGGAGGCAGCAGUAGGGAAUCUUCCGCAAUGGACGAAAGUCUGACGGAGCGACGCCGCGUGAGUGAUGAAGGCUUUCGGGUCGUAAAACUCUGUUGUUAGGGAAGAACAAGUGCUAGUUGAAUAAGCUGGCACCUUGACGGUACCUAACCAGAAAGCCACGGCUAACUACGUGCCAGCCGCCGCUGUAA